ensembl:lncRNA
CCGAGCUCCUCCCCUGGGGCCCCCCGUCCCGCCCCGUCUCACCGCCCCCGAUGGGGGAGGGGCUCCCAAACUGCCCCCCAAAACCUACAAGAGGGAGGGCCCAGGACACGCCCCUGAGACCUCCUAGAGAGAGAGAGAGAGAGAGAGAGAGGGGGAGGGAGAGAAAGAGAGGGGGAGGGAGAGAUAGACAGAAAGAGAGAGAGAGAGAGACAGAAAGAGAGAGAGAGAGCGACAGAGAGAAUCGAGACAGAGACAGAGACUCUCUCUUACUGGCCAGGCUGGACUUGUGCCAACACUAACCACACAACUUAAGGACUUACCGAUCACAGAACAGAACUGCUGGUCAUGUGACCUUAAACCACGAAAACAACCGCCUUCUGGGGUUGCCUGCCUGUCUGUCUGUCUGUCUGUCUGUCUGUCUGUCUGUCUGUGUGUGUGUGUGUGUGUGUGUGCGUGUGCGCGUCAUGUCAGACUGAGGGGUUGUGUGUACCGGUGGCCUUCCACCCAGCCCCCAGCAGAACUGGGACCCGGGUCCGGAUGUUUGAGUGAUACUGAAAGGCUGGGACAGUUGACACCGUACCACGAGUUCAUGUACACUAAUACACCCACACACAAAUACACUCAUACACACACACAUAUACACUAAUAUACAGACACAUGUACACUAAUACAUAUAUACACACACACAUACGUAUACACACACACGCACUCGCACACAAACACGUCACACACACAGGGAUGGGAAUCCUAACCGUUCCUAACAAUCCUAACAGUUUACUGCAUGGUUGCUUAGAGGCUAUCGGAGAGGUUUGUUUGGUGCACUUGGAAAGAAUCACACAAAUCCAUAGUAGCUUAUGCAGUGUGAACAUAAUUUCUCUAAGUUAGAAAGAUAUUGUAUAUUCAACAGAUAUUUAUACUCUGUCUUAGCGAUGUGGCAAAGAGAGCUAACAUUGGUAAGGGUCUGGGAUUCUAGCGCUGUACCGAUGCCCACGAGACUUUCUGCAGCGCGCUCUGUAGAGCCGUUUGGGCAAAAGGCUGAGUACGAAGUACCCUGUUCUGCACGUAAUAAGUCCUGUUUCAAAAUGUCCCCAAUGCAGACGAUAUUAAUAUGGUUACAAAUACAAAUCAAAACAAUAGAUUUGUAUAUAUUCCCAUCCCUACACAUACCAACACAAAGAGGUACUUGAGAAAUUGAUUGUUGAGUAAUUGCUGAUUGUGUGUCGAGCCAACUUGUAAGAUGUCUUUAAACAAGGGAAUCAAGACUUUGGACCCAACUUAUAAAGAUGUCUUAAAACAAGGGAAUAAAGACUUUGGACCCACCUUGUGAAGAUGUCUUUAAACCAGGGAAUAAAGACUGGAAAUCAGGCUUACACACUGAACUUUAUACUCCCAACAGGACCCUUUCAUUUCAAGGGAUGUUUCACUUAAGGGCGGCUUUUACUGUGAAGGGCAUACUGCCCAAAUGUAAAUGAGGUGCCCUCUGAAGUUACAGCCCCCCCUAGAUCUGCAGGGGACUUUUCCUCGCGAGGGACAUCAUUGGUCAUCUAUAUCAUGAGUUCACCAUCUCAGCUAUAUUAGUUGUUCACCAGGG